rnacentral:rRNA from 1 species
GACCUACGGGGGGCUGCAGUGGGGAAUUUUGGACAAUGGGGGCAACCCUGAUCCAGCCAUUCCGCGUGAGUGAAGAAGGCCUUCGGGUUGUAAAGCUCUUUCGGCAGGAACGAAACGGUGGCCACUAAUACUGGCUACUAAUGACGGUACCUGAAGAAGAAGCACCGGCUAACUACGUGCCAGCAGCCGCGGUAAUACGUAGGGUGCGAGCGUUAAUCGGAAUUACUGGGCGUAAAGCGUGCGCAGGCGGUUUCGUAAGACAGAUGUGAAAUCCCGGGGCUUAACCUGGGAAAUGCGUUUGUGACUGCGAGACUCGAGUGCGGCAGAGGGGGGUGGAAUUCCACGUGUAGCAGUGAAAUGCGUAGAGAUGUGGAGGAACACCGAUGGCGAAGGCAGCCCCCUGGGUCGACACUGACGCUCAUGCACGAAAGCGUGGGGAGCAAACAGGAUUAGAUACCCUGGUAGUC